GACGAACGCUGGCGGCGUGCCUAAUACAUGCAAGUAGAACGCACAGUUUAUACCGUAGCUUGCUACACCAUAAACUGUGAGUUGCGAACGGUUGAGUAACGCGUAGGUAACCUGCCUGGUAGCGGGGGAUAACUAUUGGAAACGAUAGCUAAUACCGCAUAAUAUUGAUUAUUGCAUGAUAAUUGAUUGAAAGAUGCUAUUGCAUCACUACCAGAUGGACCUGCGUUGUAUUAGCUAGUAGGUGAGGUAACGGCUCACCUAGGCGACGAUACAUAGCCGACCUGAGAGGGUGAUCGGCCACACUGGGACUGAGACACGGCCCAGACUCCUACGGGAGGCAGCAGUAGGGAAUCUUCGGCAAUGGACGAAAGUCUGACCGAGCAACGCCGCGUGAGUGAAGAAGGUUUUCGGAUCGUAAAGCUCUGUUGUAAGAGAAGAACGGGUGUGAGAGUGGAAAGUUCACACUGUGACGGUAUCUUACCAGAAAGGGACGGCUAACUACGUG
rnacentral:rRNA from 1 species